UGUGCAUCCAGAAUACAUGAACUUCAUUUAUUUACUUUGGGGAAUGGGAAAACAAAGGCUCUCAUUUACUUUUUUUCUUCUUUUUAACUCUGAACCAGCAGCAGCUCAAUAGCUGUGAGGGGGGAGAGGCAGCCCUGGCAUGGGAGCUGGGCAGGGUGACCACUGGCCAGGAGUCUGCUCCAGUGCUGUUCCUGAUGGGAAACCUUGGCAGCAUUUCCUUUUUCUUUCUCUUCUUUUUCCUUUCAUUUUCAAGCAUUCUUUGUUUGGACUGUGAACAAAGUCUGGUUUUGGAUGAUAUCAGAACGUCGCAGACCUGAGCACUAACACUGUGUUGCUCUCUUGCACUGUCUGCUGUGGCAGCAGAGUUUGGAGUUUUUGGAAUAAAAUUGUUCAUUGAUGUAUUA